rfam:Winogradskyella sp. PC-19 genome.
UAUAUUUGCCGCCUGAAAGAACGACUUUCAGAAUACAUAACAAUCAUUUACAAUAAUAUUAGCAUG